GCUUCUUUUGGUGGUCUUUGGAUAACUCCAAAGGUCCUAAUUGUUUGCUGGGAAGGAGUUUUGAGUUUUUGCAGUUUGAACUCAAACUACCCAGAAAAACUUUAGUUAUAGUUUCUGUUUUGAAAACUUUAAUCAAAAACCAAAAACCCAAAUCAGAAAUCCAAAUCGAAGAUUCAAAAACCCUACUCGAAGACCCAAAGUGCAAUCCGUAGCUCCAUUUUUGCAUUUCUUCUUCGUCUACCAGCUCUCCGAGUAGCGGUCCGCCGUUGCGUUCUUGCGGUGCCUCGUCUCGCCCUUCCGUCGCCGUGCCUUGCCUUGCCUCACCUCGUCCUGGUGUCGUGUGCCUUGCCUCGUCGUGCCUCACCUCGCCCUGCCGUCGCUGUGCCUCGCCUCGCCUCGUCGUGCCCCUGCCGUCCCCUGGUCUUCCGUUCUUUUGUUUUCAGUGGUAUUCUUGCUAAUCUUCUUUGUAGACUUUGCUGUGUAGAGUUCGUGACAAAGAAUUUAACUAAUUUACGUCAUGGAGGAAAAUGGAGCUUUCUCUGAAGUGGUUGACAUAAACCAGACUACCAUGACACUGGAACCAGAAAAACCUACCAGUGGUGGACUCUAUCUUCCUGGGAAGGAUAGGGUGGUUUACGUGCCACAAGAGAGAAAAUCACGUUUUGGACUUGAUGCCCUCGCCAGUGCGAAACGGUCUCAGUAUGAUGGGGGAUUCAAGUUACCAAAAGAAAGAACCACCUCCAUUGCAGCUUCUGCAGAAGAUGAAGAUAAGUCUGAGUUGUCUGUUGUUGAAGAAAGUGAACAGGGUGGGAUUGUCAGUAGACACAGACACACUAAUAGGAGAUAUCGUGACACUACCAGUGAAACAUCACUUGCAGAAAGUUCUGUGAGCGAAGAUCACUAUGGUGAUACCAACAAGGUUCGUUCAACUGAGCAAGCGAUCUCAAAUGUUCCUCCAUCACCUUCUGGAUAUGAUAGGGAGGAUCACAGGAGUGAGAGAAGGCAUUCCAGGGAUGAUUCAAGAAGUGGUAGCGGAAGAGUGCGUCAUCAGAAUUACUAUGAACGUAAGGCAGGAUCUUAUUCAGAAAGGGAUUCACAUAGUAGGUAUGACCGUGAUCAUGGUAGAAAGCGAAGCAGAUACGAAGAUUCCAGGAGAACGCCUGGCAGGUCUGACUGGGAUGAUGGCAGGUGGGAAUGGAAUGAAACUCCACGAAGGGACAAUGUCUCUAGUUCUAGACGUCAUCAACCUUCACCAUCACCAAUGUUUUUAGGUGCCUCACCAGAUGCUCGAUUGGUUUCACCAUGGUUGGGGGGCAACACACCUCAUUCAUCUUUUAAUUCAUCUUCCCCCUGGGAUCAUGUUUCUCCAUCUCCUAUCCCUAUACGUGCUUCUGGAUCUUCAGCCAAAUCUUCUGUUUCUAGACACUAUGGAAAGUCGCAUCAGCUUAAUUUUAGAUCGGAAACUUCAAAUUCAUUUCAGGAUGAAGUGGCUGAUAAGUCUGAAUUGGGUGAAGAGCACAAGUAUGAGAUUACUGAAAGCAUGCGAUUGGAGAUGGAAUACGAUGCUGACCGAGCAUGGUAUGACAGAGAGGAAGGUAGCACAUUAUUUGAAGGCGACAGCUCAUCACUUUUUCUUGGAGACGAAGCUUCCUUUCAGAAAAAAGAGGCUGAUCUGGCCAAGAGACUGGUUAGAAGAGAUGGCACCAAGAUGUCCCUUGCACAGAGCAAGAAGUUGUCCCAGCUCACAGCUGAUAAUGCUCAAUGGGAGGAUAGGCAACUGCUGAGAUCUGGAGCUGUUAGAGGUACAGAGGUUCAGACUGAAUUUGAUGACGAGGAAGAGCAAAAAGUUAUUCUACUUGUUCAUGAUACAAAGCCUCCUUUCCUUGAUGGCAGAGUUGUUUUUACUAAGCAGGCCGAGCCAAUUAUGCCAAUAAAAGAUCCAACAUCUGACAUGGCUAUAAUAUCUCGUAAAGGGUCUACUCUGGUUAGAGAAAUCCAUGAGAAGCAGAGUAUGAACAAGUCUCGCCAACGCUUUUGGGAACUUGCAGGCUCAAAACUUGGUGAUAUCUUGGGUGUUGAGAAAACAGCAGAGCAGAUUGAUGCAGACACUGCUGAAGUGGGUGAAGAUGGUGAAAUUGACUUUAAAGAGGAAGCUAAAUUUUCACAGCAUUUGAAGAAAGGUGAAGCCGUGAGUGACUUUGCCAAGUCAAAAACCAUUGCAGAGCAAAGACAAUAUCUGCCUAUUUUUUCAGUGAGAGAAGAGUUAUUACAGGUGGUUCGCGAAAAUCAGGUGGUGGUUGUGGUUGGAGAAACUGGUUCAGGAAAGACAACACAAUUAACACAGUAUCUGCACGAGGAUGGCUAUACUAUAGGUGGUAUAGUGGGCUGCACCCAACCAAGACGUGUGGCAGCUAUGAGUGUUGCCAAGAGAGUUAGUGAAGAGAUGGAUACAGAGUUGGGUGAUAAAGUUGGCUAUGCUAUACGUUUUGAAGAUGUGACUGGGCCAAGUACUAUUAUAAAGUACAUGACUGAUGGUGUACUUUUACGAGAAACACUCAAAGAUUCUGAUCUAGACAAGUAUAGGGUUAUUGUCAUGGAUGAAGCCCAUGAAAGAUCAUUAAACACUGAUGUUCUUUUUGGAAUAUUGAAGAAAGUUGUAGCCCAACGCCGUGAUUUCAAGCUGAUCGUCACAUCUGCAACUCUGAAUGCACAGAAAUUUUCAAAUUUCUUUGGAAGUGUACCGAUUUUUCACAUUCCUGGGCGAACAUUUCCUGUGAAUAUAUUGUGGAGUAAAACUCCAGUUGAAGAUUAUGUUGAAGGUGCAGUGAAGCAGGCCAUGACUAUUCAUAUAACCAGUCCUCCUGGUGACAUCCUUAUCUUCAUGACUGGUCAGGAUGAGAUUGAGGCAGCUUGCUAUGCCCUUGCAGAAAGAAUGGAGCAAAUGGUGUCAUCUUCAAAUAAAGUUGUUCCUAAACUCUUGAUUCUUCCCAUAUACUCUCAGCUUCCAGCCGACUUGCAAGCUAAGAUAUUUCAAAAAGCUGAAGAUGGAGCCCGAAAAUGUAUUGUAGCCACUAAUAUUGCCGAGACUUCAUUAACUGUUGAUGGUAUCUUCUAUGUGAUAGACUCAGGCUACGGUAAAAUGAAGGUGUAUAACCCUAGGAUGGGCAUGGACGCUCUCCAGGUCUUCCCUGUUAGCCGAGCUGCUGCUGACCAGCGUGCUGGUCGAGCUGGUAGAACUGGCCCUGGUACAUGCUAUAGGUUGUAUACUGAGAGUGCUUACUUGAAUGAAAUGCUGCAUAGUCCUGUUCCAGAGAUUCAGAGGACUAACCUUGGUAAUGUGGUCUUGUUGCUGAAAUCUCUUAAAGUUGAAAAUCUACUUGAUUUUGAUUUCAUGGAUCCACCUCCGCAAGAUAAUAUUCUCAAUUCGAUGUAUCAGUUGUGGGUUCUGGGUGCCCUUAACAAUGUUGGGGGGUUAACUGAUCUUGGGUGGAAAAUGGUUGAAUUCCCGCUGGACCCUCCACUUGCCAAGAUGCUUUUGACAGGCGAACUGUUAGGGUGUCUUGAGGAGGUUUUGACAAUUGUGUCCAUGCUUUCAGUGCCCUCUGUUUUCUUUAGACCUAAGGAUCGGGCAGAGGAGAGUGAUGCUGCACGGGAAAGAUUUUUUGUGCCAGAGUCCGAUCAUUUAACCCUGUACAAUGUUUAUCAGCAAUGGAAACAGCAUGAUUACAGAGGUGAUUGGUGCAAUGAUCAUUUCUUGCAUGUCAAAGGUCUAAGAAAGGCUAGAGAGGUGAGAUCCCAGUUGCUUGACAUUCUGAAGACUUUAAAGAUCCCCUUAACCUCUUGUUGGCCUGAUACAGACAUUGUUAGAAAAGCAGUUUGUUCUGCAUAUUUUCACAAUGCUGCAAGGUUAAAGGGCGUGGGAGAGUAUGUUAACUGCAGGAAUGGGAUGCCGUGCCAUCUUCAUCCCAGUAGUGCUCUCUAUGGUAUGGGCUGCACUCCUGAGUAUGUGGUUUAUCAUGAGUUAAUCCUGACCACGAAGGAGUACAUGCAGUGUGCCACCGCAGUGGAGCCCCAGUGGCUGGCUGAGUUGGGACCCAUGUUUUUCUCUGUGAAGGAGUCUGAUACAUCAUUACUGGAGCAUAAGAAGAGACAGAAACAAGAGAAAACAGCCAUGGAGGAGGAGAUGGAGAACUUGAAGAAGGUGCAAGCAGAGUUUGAGAGAGAAAGGAAACAGAAGGAGAAGGAAAAGACAGCUAAGCAUCAGCAGCAAAUCUCCAUGCCAGGUUUACGAAAGGGUUCCUCCACAUUCUUGAGACCAAAGAAGUUUGGUUUGUAAAUUAUGUUGAUAAUACUGAAAUAUCGGCAGACCGAGAAAGAGAAGGCUGAAUUCUGAUUGUAACUAGAUGACAGAAAUAUCGACAGCCUAAGAAAGCUGCAGAUUUAUUGGAUGGUGCAGUUGAGGACAAUCUUUAAAUGAGGUAGCUGAUAAAUUUCUUUCGAGAUCAGCACAGGACUGCCAGGACACUGUAUUUAUAUUAUGGAAAACAAUAUCCGAAAUACUGAUAUACCAGUUUUGGUAAUAGCAUUGCGCUCGUGGAACAUUGUCACAUCCAAUGCAAGUUUGUAGGGUUCAUAACUGCAAAAGGCAGAAACUUGCCGUAGAAACAACUCAUUAUGUAUUGUACUGAUGUAUUCGUAACUCCUAAGGUGCAUGUGACCACGUCUAGUAUUGAUGACCUCGUGUUCUCCCCUUUCAUUGUAUUUUAUUCAUUGUUGAAUUCCCAAGCAUAGUACUCCAUGCAAUGAGAAUUGAGUUUUAACUUGUACGUUAUGGGAAAAAAAAUACAAUAACUCUUUGUUUUCCCGAUUUUAAA